rnacentral:rRNA from 1 species
GAUGAACGCUGGCGGCGUGCCUAAUACAUGCAAGUCGAGCGAACGGACGAGAAUCUUGCUUCACUGAUGUUAGCGGGGGAAGGGUGAGUAGCACGUGUAUAACCUCCCUAUAAGACUGGGAUAACUUCCGGAAACCGGAGCUAAUACCGGAUGAUAUUUUGAUCAGUAUGAUUCCAAAGUAAAAGAAGCUCUUGCUGUCUUUGAUAGAUGUACCCGCGCUGCAUUAGCUAGUUCGUAAGGUAACGGAUUACCAAGGCAACGAUGCAUAGCCGACCUGAGAGGGUGAUAGGACACACUGGAACUGAGACACGGUCCAGACUCCUAUGGGAGGCAGCAGUGGAGAAUCUUACGCUAAGCGCGAAAGGCUGAUGGAGCAACGCCGCGUGAGGGAUGAAGUGCUUCGGAUCUUAAAACUCUGUUACUAGGGAAGAACACAUGUGUAAGUAAUUGUGCACAGCUUGACGGUACCUAAUCAGAAAGCCACGGCUAACUACGUG